rnacentral:rRNA from 1 species
AGAGUUUGAUCCUGGCUCAGGACGAACGCUGGCGGUGUGCUUCACACAUGCAAGUCGAGCGAAUGAAGUAGGUAGCUUGCUACUUAUGGAUUUAGCGGCGGACGGGUGAGUAAUAUAUAGGAAUCUGCCUUAGAGCGGGGAACAACAGACCGAAAGGUUUGCUAAUGCCCCAUAGGUAUGCAGUCUUCGGAUUGUAUAUUAAAGGAGUAAUCCACUCUAAGAUGAGCCUGUAUCCGAUUAGCUAGUUGGCGGGGUAAAGGCCCACCAAGGCUACGAUCGGUAGUUGGUCUGAGAGGAUGAUCAGCCACAAUGGGACUGAGACACGGCCCAUACUCCUACGGGAGGCAGCAGUGGGGAAUUUUACACAAUGGGGGAAACCCUGAUGUAGCGACACCGCGUGAACGAAGAAGCCUUUUGGGGUGUAAAGUUCUGUCGGCUGGAACGAAAAAAAUGACGGUACCAGCAAAGGAAGCAUCGGCUAACUACGUGCCAGCAGCCGCGGUGAGACGUAGGAUGCAAGCGUUGUCCGGAUUUAUUGGGCGUAAAGAGUUCGUAGGCGGUUAUUUAAGUCUGAUGUUAAAUACUGUGGCCCAACCACAGAACUGCAUUGGAUACUGGAUGACUUGAGUGCGGUAGAGGCAAGUGGAAUUCCCAGUGUAGCGGUGAAAUGCGUAGA